rnacentral:rRNA from 1 species
GGGUUGUGAGGUUAAGCGACUAAGCGUACACGGUGGAUGCCCCUGGCAGUCAGAGGCGAUGAAGGGCGUGCUAAUCUGCGAUAAGCGCCGGUAAGGUGAUAUGAACCGUUAUAACCGGCGAUACCCGAAUGGGGAAACCCAGUGUGACUCGUCACACUAUCAUUAACUGAAUCCAUAGGUUAAUGAGGCGAACCGGGGGAACUGAAACAUCUAAGUACCCCGAGGAAAAGAAAUCAACCGAGAUUCCCCCAGUAGCGGCGAGCGAACGGGGAGGAGCCCAGAGCCUGAAUCAGCAUGUGUGUUAGUGGAAGCGUCUGGAAAGGCGCGCGAUACAGGGUGACAGCCCCGUACACAAAAGCGCAUGUGCUGUGAGCUCGAUGAGUAGGGCGGGACACGUGGUAUCCUGUCUGAAUAUGGGGGGACCAUCCUCCAAGGCUAAAUACUCCUGACUGACCGAUAGUGAACCAGUACCGUGAGGGAAAGGCGAAAAGAACCCCGGCGAGGGGAGUGAAAAAGAACCUGAAACCGUGUACGUACAAGCAGUGGGAGCACCCUUUGGGUGUGACUGCGUACCUUUUGUAUAAUGGGUCAGCGACUUAUAUUCUGUAGCAAGGUUAACCGAAUAGGGGAGCCGGAGGGAAACCGAGUCUUAACCGGGCGUUAAGUUGCAGGGUAUAGACCCGAAACCCGGUGAUCUAGCCAUGGGCAGGUUGAAGGUUGGGUAACACUAACUGGAGGACCGAACCGACUAAUGUUGAAAAAUUAGCGGAUGACCUGUGGCUGGGGGUGAAAGGCCAAUCAAACCGGGAGAUAGCUGGUUCUCCCCGAAAGCUAUUUAGGUAGCGCCUCGUGAAUUCAUCUCCGGGGUAGAGCACUGUUUCGGCUAGGGGGCCAUCCCGGCUUACCAACCCGAUGCAAACUGCGAAUACCGGAGAAUGUUAUCACGGGAGACACACGGCGGGUGCUAACGUCCGUCGUGAAGAGGGAAACAACCCAGACCGCCAGCUAAGGUCCCAAAGUCAUGGUUAAGUGGGAAACGAUGUGGGAAGGCCCAGACAGCCAGGAUGUUGGCUUAGAAGCAGCCAUCAUUUAAAGAAAGCGUAAUAGCUCACUGGUCGAGUCGGCCUGCGCGGAAGAUGUAACGGGGCUAAACCAUGCACCGAAGCUGCGGCAGCGACACUGUGUGUUGUUGGGUAGGGGAGCGUUCUGUAAGCCUGCGAAGGUGGCCUGUGAGGGUUGCUGGAGGUAUCAGAAGUGCGAAUGCUGACAUAAGUAACGAUAAAGCGGGUGAAAAGCCCGCUCGCCGGAAGACCAAGGGUUCCUGUCCAACGUUAAUCGGGGCAGGGUGAGUCGACCCCUAAGGCGAGGCCGAAAGGCGUAGUCGAUGGGAAACGGGUUAAUAUUCCCGUACUUGGUGUUACUGCGAAGGGGGACGGAGAAGGCUAUGUUGGCCGGGCGACGGUUGUCCCGGUUUAAGCGUGUAGGUGUGUGUUCCAGGUAAAUCCGGUUCACUUUAACACUGAGGCGUGACGACGAGGCACUACGGUGCUGAAGCAACAAAUGCCCUGCUUCCAGGAAAAGCCUCUAAGCAUCAGGUAACAUCAAAUCGUACCCCAAACCGACACAGGUGGUCAGGUAGAGAAUACCAAGGCGCUUGAGAGAACUCGGGUGAAGGAACUAGGCAAAAUGGUGCCGUAACUUCGGGAGAAGGCACGCUGACACGUAGGUGAAGUGAUUUACUCAUGGAGCUGAAGUCAGUCGAAGAUACCAGCUGGCUGCAACUGUUUAUUAAAAACACAGCACUGUGCAAACACGAAAGUGGACGUAUACGGUGUGACGCCUGCCCGGUGCCGGAAGGUUAAUUGAUGGGGUCAGCGCAAGCGAAGCUCCUGAUCGAAGCCCCGGUAAACGGCGGCCGUAACUAUAACGGUCCUAAGGUAGCGAAAUUCCUUGUCGGGUAAGUUCCGACCUGCACGAAUGGCGUAAUGAUGGCGGGCUGUCUCCACCCGAGACUCAGUGAAAUUGAACUCGCUGUGAAGAUGCAGUGUACCCGCGGCAAGACGGAAAGACCCCGUGAACCUUUACUAUAGCUUGACACUGAACAUUGAGCCUUGAUGUGUAGGAUAGGUGGGAGGCUUUGAAGUGUGGACGCCAGUCUGCAUGGAGCCGACCUUGAAAUACCACCCUUUAAUGUUUGAUGUUCUAACGUGGACCCGUUACCCGGGUUGCGGACAGUGUCUGGUGGGUAGUUUGACUGGGGCGGUCUCCUCCUAAAGAGUAACGGAGGAGCACGAAGGUUGGCUAAUCCUGGUCGGACAUCAGGAGGUUAGUGCAAUGGCAUAAGCCAGCUUGACUGCGAGCGUGACGGCGCGAGCAGGUGCGAAAGCAGGUCAUAGUGAUCCGGUGGUUCUGAAUGGAAGGGCCAUCGCUCAACGGAUAAAAGGUACUCCGGGGAUAACAGGCUGAUACCGCCCAAGAGUUCAUAUCGACGGCGGUGUUUGGCACCUCGAUGUCGGCUCAUCACAUCCUGGGGCUGAAGUAGGUCCCAAGGGUAUGGCUGUUCGCCAUUUAAAGUGGUACGCGAGCUGGGUUUAGAACGUCGUGAGACAGUUCGGUCCCUAUCUGCCGUGGGCGCUGGAGAACUGAGGGGGGCUGCUCCUAGUACGAGAGACCGGAGUGGACGCAUCACUGGUGUUCGGGUUGUCAUGCCAAUGGCACUGCCCGGUAGCUAAAUGCGGAAGAGAUAAGUGCUGAAAGCAUCUAAGCACGAAACUUGCCCCGAGAUGAGUUCUCCCUGAGACUUAGAGUCUCCUGAAGGAACGUUGAAGACGACGACGUUGAUAGGCCGGGUGUGUAAGCGCAGCGAUGCGUUGAGCUAACCGGUACUAAUGAACCGUGAGGCUUAACCUUACAACGCCGAAG